rnacentral:rRNA from 1 species
UUGGCCCUACGGGGGGCAGCAGUAGGGAAUAUUGCUCAAUGGGGGAAACCCUGAAGCAGCAACGCCGCGUGCAGGAUGAAGGCCUUCGGGUUGUAAACUGCUUUUAUAAGCGAGAAAUAUGAUGGUAACUUAUGAAUAAGGAUCGGCUAACUACGUGCCAGCAGCCGCGGUCAUACGUAGGAUCCGAGCAUUAUCCGGAGUGACUGGGUGUAAAGAGUUGCGUAGGUGGCAUAAUAAGUAGCUAGUGAAAUCUGGUGGCUCAACCAUUCAGACUAUUAGCUAAACUGUUAAGCUCGAGACCGUUA